AAAUGUAAUCAUCAAGAUGGAACAAUUUUUGGACUCUAUUUUCGAAAUUCUACCUCAAGUGUGCAUCGCAGGAAGUGUCACGCUUCUAACCGGUGUCGGCAUCUACUCCACCAUCAUGGGAACCAACCAUCCAUCACGACCACCCAUCCCUCCACCACUUCCGGGACUCUUCAUACCACAAGGACCCCUGCAGAACCACCCCGCUGGUGACGUAGUCAUGCAACACUAGACAAGCCAAAUACGAUUAAAAAUUUUAAAACAAUGACAGUAGAAGAAUAGUAUCAAGAUUACUC